rnacentral:piRNA from 1 species
UAGUCCCUAAUUUCUAUUAUUGACCACAGG